AUACCGUGAAACUGCGAAUGGCUCAUUAAAUCAGUUAUCGUUUAUUUGAUAGUACCUUACUACUUGGAUACCUGUGGUAAUUCUAGAGCUAAUACAUGCUAAAAACCCCGACUUCGGAAGGGGUGUAUUUAUUAGAUAAAAAACCAAUGCCCUUCGGGGCUCCUUGGUGAUUCAUAAUAACUUCUCAGAUCGCAUGGCCUUGCGCCGGCGACGGUUCAUUCAAAUUUCUGCCCUAUCAACUUUCGAUGGUAAGGUAUUGGCUUACCAUGGUUUCUACGGGUAACGGGGAAUUAGGGUUCGAUUCCGGAGAGUUAGCCUGAGAAACGGCUAACACAUCCAAGGAAGGCAGCAGGCGCGCAAAUUACCCAAUCCUGAUACAGGGAGGUAGUGACAAUAAAUACUGAUACAGGGCUCUUUUGGGUCUUGUAAUUGGAAUGAGUACAAUUUAAACCUCUUAACGAGGAACAAUUGGAGGGCAAGUCUGGUGCCAGCAGCCGCGGUAAUUCCAGCUCCAAUAGCGUAUAUUAAAGUUGUUGCAGUUAAAAAGCUCGUAGUUGAACCUUUGGCCUGGCUGGCGGGUCCGCCUCACCGCGUGCACUUGUCCGGCCGGGCCUUUUCUUCUGGAGAACCGCAUGCCCUUCACUGGGUGUGUUGGGGACCAGGACUUUUACUUUGAAAAAAUUAGAGUGUUCAAAGCAGGCCUUUGCUCGAAUAUUACAGCAUGGAAUAAUAAAAUAGGACGUGCGGUUCUAUUUUGUUGGUUUCUAGGACCGCCGUAAUGAUUAAUAGGGACAGUCGGGGGCAUCAGUAUUCAAUUGUCAGAGGUGAAAUUCUUGGAUUUAUUGAAGACUAACUACUGCGAAAGCAUUUGCCAAGGAUGUUUUCAUUAAUCAGUGAACGAAAGUUAGGGGAUCGAAGACGAUCAGAUACCGUCGUAGUCUUAACCAUAAACUAUGCCGACUAGGGAUCGGGCGGUGUUAUUAUUUUGACUCGCUCGG
rnacentral:rRNA from 1 species